UACGAAGGGGCUAGGCGUUGCUCGGAAUUACUGGGCGUAAAGGGAGCGUAGGCGGAUAGUUUAGUCAGAGGUGAAAGCCCAGGGCUCAACCUUGGAAUUGCCUUUGAUACUGGCUAUCUUGAGUACGGAAGAGGUAUGUGGAACUCCGAGUGUAGAGGUGAAAUUCGUAGAUAUUCGGAAGAACACCAGUGAACGAAGGCGGCUCACUGGCCCGAUACUGACGCUGAGGCACGAAAGGCGUGGGGAGCAAACAGG
rnacentral:rRNA from 1 species